rfam:Clostridium paraputrificum strain 373-A1 CP373A1_35, whole genome shotgun sequence.
AAAAAGAUAAUAUUAUUUCCGUAGACAGUAGGUGCUAUUGCAUAACGUAUAACAACCUACCGAGGUACCAAUAAAGUUAGUUAUGUUUACUUUAGGUCUUCCUUGUCUACGGGAAGACCUUUAUUAAUAUUAAG